GUCAAUUUCAAAAGAAACCCUCGCUUUUUCCCCCUUCUCGUUGGAAUCCUCGCCAUCUUCCUGAAACCCCAAGCUUCGAUCUUGCCGUCAGCCGAUCGACUCGGCUCAAGGUAUUUCGUUCCUGCAUCAGCGGCAAGGAUGGGGGCCGAGGGGAAGUGAUGGAGCAUGCGAUUCUUGGGAUUUGCCUCAGGUCAGUUCAAUGGCAUAUGAUCUUGCACCCUGCUGCCAAUUUAAUCAGUUUUGAUGUUUGCUAGAUUGCUGGAGCAAUUUAUUUAUGGUUGCAGAUGAACUCAGAAACUAUGGUGAAAGAUUACAAAGUAUCUACGUGAGUUAUUUCAUUUUGUUUCUUAGGAGAAUUCGAUGAGUUUACAGAUAUUACCUCAACCCAAGAAUGGUAUCUUUUAACUGAAUUCUGAAACGGUACUCCCAAAGUUUGCAAACUUAUAUCUAGAUGAUUCUUCCAUGGAAUUAUUUGCUAUAUGAUAAGAAACUGCGAGGUCCACUUUAAGCCAAAGAGGCAUUCAUAAAAAGAAUAAUAUAUUUAGAGAAAAUGGCUUAUUCAUAAAACCAUCAAAUAUCAGAUUGUUAUUGGUUGAUUAGGAGGUACAAAUAAGAAUCAUAAUAUUGAUUCUUGAUACAAAUUAUGUUGCCUCCUACCACACUCAGCAAUCAAGUUGAGGUUGGUCGGGCAGAUAAUGGUAAUACAAGAGCAACCUCUUUAGGUUGAGUGAAGCAAGUGAACAAUACAAAUAGGCUAGAGAAAACUAGUUUGCUUCAAGUCAAGGGCAUUUUGGGCCCCCUCUCUUCGUUUUCCAGUUGUUGUAGCAAGGACACUCUCCUUUGUUGCCAUAGAAACCUGAGGGUACACAGAGGCACUUAAUGCAACACUUCUGGCAGAAGAACAUGCAUGGCUUGUGGUAUUGUGUCUUUGAGCACCUCCUUGAGCAUUGGGAUGGGCAUUCUGAUCAUGGAAAUACAAUGCAUAAAUGUUAGAAAAGAAAUUACAUUCAUAGUUCAGAAUAGAUUUUUCCAUUAGCCUAAUUAUACAAGAACAGAUCACUUCCAAGUAUUUUUCUUAGUAGUUCUUAGGUCAUUCUGAAAUGUUUUGUCUCAGAAUCUCUUUUCUGUUGUUUUAAAUCUCUAUAACUAUUGUUGCUCAAUUACUCAUAAUAAGACCACCAUUUUUGAGACUUGUUUGGAUGAAAAUGAAAAAUGAGAAACUUACGGUAGGUUUGCAGGGUGCCUCGUCCGUUUGAAGUCUGAAAAAGUGCAUAUUAGUAAGAAAAUCAGAAAAAAAGAAGAAUUGCUACUUUAAACCACUCUAUUUAGGAAGUAUUUACAAAGCAGGAAGAUGUAAAUAAUUGUACCAGUAUGUACUCCCCUUCAGAAUGCUUAAUUUCUUUGGCCAGCACCUGGAAUGCAAAGAAAUAACAUAGAAGCUAAGAGCAAGCAUACUUAUUUACAUUGUAAAAUGGACUUGGUAAUGUUAUGUGUAGAUUGGUAGUAUUGGUAUCACUGGCUUUCAGAGAAGAGAUCCUGACCUUGUAACCAGAGUCAGCCAUGGAAAUGGCUAGGAGGGCAAUGGCCAGCAGAACAACAAGCUUAGCCAUGGCUAUUGUUCUUCCCAAGUCUAAACAGUACAACAGACAAAUGAGCUAAGGAGAUGUAGUGGAAUGUUGGAGAGGCCGCCAUAUUUAUAGCUUAGAUGGGGCAGACAAAAGUCCAUAAAGAGGGAUAAAAUAUGCCUCCUUGUGUACCCCUUGGGGAUGAAGCUUACACUCUUGACCUUGGUACCUAAAGUGUGGCCUUUGUACCAUUGAGGCAAUCACAAAUCAAUAUGCAUUCAGUUAAUACAUAAUAGCUGGUAGAUUCUAUCUUUGUAAACAGGCAAGCAUACUCUAUUAUGUAACUUUGGAGAAACCUAACUAAAAGUUUAAGUUUACUUCUGACAAAUUAGCAGAACAAAUGGAAUCAACAAAAUAUUGCAAGAUUUGAUCACUGGUAGUUCACAGUACAAAUUAGAGCAACAAAAAUAUUAGAUUAGGGAGAAAUUAUAGUUGGACCCUAGCACAAAGUGGCACCUUAAAAAUUGUAGGAAGAUUGGGUGGUUUUUGGGAGGCCAUCAAUUAAAGUGAGGAGCAUGUGCUGGUCUCAGUCCAUCAUGUGAUGCAAGGACAAACUUGUGGACACCCAUGACAUUCUUUGCUAUCAAAUCUAACCAAAAGUUCAUUUUAUUUCUGUGGCAAAUUAGCAGAACAAAUGUUAAUCUUUAAAACCUUGCAAAAUGUUAUCAUUACUAGUUCAUACAUAGUACAAAUCAGACCUACAAGAAUACUAGUUUAGAGGGGAGUUAUAGUUGGACCCAAAAACAAAGUGGUGCCUUGUGAAUUGUAGGAAGAUUGGAUGUCCUUUGGGAAGCCAUGCAAUUAGUGGUGAGGAGCAUGUGCUGGUCUGAGUCCAUCAUGUGAUGCAAGGACAAGCAUGGGACACCCAUGACAUUCUUUGCUAUCACAUUAUGAUGGGUGGAACCUACAAGUACCUCUUCUGUGAAUGAACCCAACCCCACCCAUGUUCUUCCCUUUGUAGUUGUCAAGAAAGAGACACAUCUCGCAGAAGGUCAUGGCCUCACUGACAAAUUGGCCACAAGGUGCACAACUGCCUCAUCCAAAUCUCAUCCCUUUGAAUUCUUUAGACAUUGAACCCUUUAAGUGUGGGCUCGCUUCCACAUGCAUAUCAGUUAAGCUAUUGUCUUUAUCAUAGAUUUGAUUUUUUUUUUUUAAAUGUCAGAUUCUACUUGAAGUUAGACCUAUAUCAUCAACAAAUUGACAUGAAGUCAUUUUAGGUCAUGACAUCCAUAUACAAAGCUAAUCAACAUACUGAUUGCUUAAUAAAUUGCAAUCUUUUUCUAAUUCCUCUGCAUAAUGGGUUAAUUAUAGCCAAGGGUUUUGUUUCAUUUUAAUAUUUAUGACAUUUUAAGUGUAUUGUUCAUGUAAUUUGUUCAUUAUUUUCUUUCCAUAAAACAAAUAGAAAAUUUAGAUAUAGUGUUCUUCUAGGUACAUGCACCUACAAUGCACGUAAUAUUGGAUGGUGGAUUUUGAUUGUGUCCCGCAAUGACAAUGUUUUCUCAGCUGCCAAAAUAAAAUUUACGUAAGUUUAUUGCUUACAUUGACUCGCUUCAGUGAUAAUGUUUUGUUAGCCACCUGAAUGAUCUUUUACCUGAGGGUAUUGCCUUGCAUCGACUCUCUUCAGACCUGUACUGGUAGGAGUCUUGUGCACUGGACCAAUCUUAGUAUAGACAAGUUCAUUAGUGCUUUGUAGUGGAGGAUCGACAUCAAUGGGACUAAGUAAUAGCAGAUCUUCUAGGGUUAUUGAGAUCUUAAACAAGAGAACAUAUACUCAAUUCCCAGGAGAUGGACAUUUCUCAGAACAAUGCAAUCAUGGUCUUGGAGAAAGUGGCAGGUUAAAUUCUAAAAUGAAACAUAUUGGUAGCUUGGGACAGAGGUCAGAGUCACCCAUGUGAGAGCAUUCACAAAAAUCCAACGUUUGUUGCCAACUCCUUUCAAUGAAGGCUUUUAAUUUUUGGUUCAGUGGGGAUCUGCUAACCUCUGUAACCUCCACAUGCAUCAACAACAUGCUCACUUUGCAGGUUUCAGAUUCUUGCCUUAUCUUAGCCUUUCUAUUGUUGCUCUUCUCUCGAUGCAUCUUUUACAAAGAUCUAAAGUAGUAGUUAUUUUUACUAUUUGAACUAGUAGUAUCAUAUGUUCCUGUAUCAUAAGAUGCUGAUGAUCUUGUAUGUCAUUAAACUAAUUAUCAAAUAUGAGUAAAAUAUAUUGUGGUAUGAUUCUUUAAUUCUUUAGUGAAAUGGGCAUGGUAAACUUCAUCCUAAAUGUUCUCUUAAAAAUUGUACCAUAUGUGUAUGUUGUAGGCUUGUAGCUACACUAUUCCUGAUUAUUUUUUGUGUGAAGAGAUUGUUUUAGUAAGUGUCUGCUACUAAGAAACUUUUAACAGCAGGAUGUAGGAAAAGAAGGUAAUGUGUGGCAUGCUAGGAUCAUUUGUUAACCAAUUUCUAGUGAGUUAAUAAAAGCAUAGAUGUUAUAUAGAUUACGACACCUACUUCAUGUUUUAUAUUUAGUGAGUAAAAACAUAAAGUUUGUGUCAGUCCAGACACCAAGUUUGUUAAUGUGUUUGAAGGCUGAAACCCAGAAGAAUAUAUAUUAAAUGGAAACUGUAAGUAGAAACUUGAAUUCUCUGCAGUUUUAGCUACCUCUAAUCACUAGACUUCACUGCAUAGUAAAACCUGAACAUAAAGUCAUUCCAAAGAACCAAACAUAUGAAAACGUUGUCCGAAAUUACAUGUAUCCUUGAAUGCAGUAAAAAACUUUCAGUACUUUGAAUUGAAGACAAAUGACAAAGAUGUAAACUUUCAAAACACAAUUAUAAAAACCUACAUAGCAAAGUCUUGUGAUUGCUACAAAAAUUAACCACCUUUUUAUGCAUAAGAAACAAAAAAAAAUCAGUGUUUUUUGGGUAUAGAAGUUAAGAUAUAUGAUUCCUGUUAUGCAUGGAUCACUAGGAUUACUGUAUAUGCCGUGGGAUCUUAAGGUGUUGUGGUCGUUGUCCUCGCACCAACAUGAUCUGCACAUCAUGAGUAGUUAGUUGCUUUGAUGUUAUACUGGUCAAGGCCUAGAUCUAGUUACCACGUGGGUCAAACCUUCAAGAAGUAUUUAGAAGUUGCUGAAUAUAAAUGAUAACGCAUGUUAAUCAAAGUCAUUGAUCACAUCUAAUGUGAGACUAGUUGAAUUAAUUUGUAGGCCUCAAGCCAAUUGGCUGGACCGAAACUGUUGGGACAUGGUUUGUUUGUUAAUGACUGCAUCUUGUUACGUUGUUCACAUAAGACAGGAGGUGGUGAGAGAAGUUGUUGGGAGCGGACAGGGGAGAAGUGAAGCACCACUCUCUAUUUGGGCCUCUCCGGUCCUUAUGAUCUCCAUUUGGGCUUAAGAAGAGCCCGAGUCUUUCAAUACACCUGGCCAGCCCCAUAAUUCUGAAUCUUACGAGUUCUGGGCCUAAGACCAGCCCAAGUACAGCCCAACCCAAGUUGUUUAAAUAUAAUAAUUGCAAAAUUGUUCUAUCCCUGUGCCAGCAACUCCUUUCCCCGCCUCGUAAACUAUGCAAGAACUCUCAAAUUGACUUUCUUGGGGAUGCCAUGAAGUUUAAAGGAUGGUUGGGCAGUGUGAAGAUAAGACAAUUCAUGACUUGAUGUUGUGCAAAGUAAAAUCAUGUUUUUAGAAUGAGUAAAAUCUUGUGAUGGAUGAGAAAGAACUAUUCUUAGUUUGUCUGUUUCCUUUUACUCAACCUUUGGCUAUUACUUCUAUUUUUUGUAAAUAAGAAAAUGAAAAUAAUUGGAAUAUUUGAUUUUCUAUGUACUUCCACCCAAAGCUUUAGAUAUAAAUAUUUAUCUGUUCCUUUGAAUAUCUUCUCAAAAUUAUCUUGCGGGAUUUAGGUGACAUUUGAUCCCAUUUUUUGAUUUGAAAUUGGAAUUAAAAUUUUCUAGUGUCAGUAUAUGAAUGGCAAACUCUCUUACUGUCUUUCGUUUAUAAACUUUGGAAUUCCAAUCAAAAUUAAGUAUGAGAACAAUAACAUUAUCUAAGAUUAAUACAUUAGUUAACUUCCUAUAACAUUUUUAUUAUUAUUAAAUUAUAAUUAUUUAUUUCAUAAUUUUGUUAUUUAUUUUAUACUUUAUAUUAUAUGUUAUAUGAUUUAAUAAAAUAAAAAUAUUUCAACCCCUUAUUUAUUAUUUACUAUGUUAAGAAGACUAAAAUUAAUUAGUUAUUGUACUUUAUCAUGAAUGUUAUCAUUAAAGUAUUUUGUUUGAUUGAAUGACCUUAACUAAGAUUUAUAGUCUGAUUUUGGUACAUAAACAAAAAUAUUUUGUCAUUUUAAAAUUAUUUUGUUAAUUCUUUAGAAAUGAGAAUUGAGAUUUAUGCUGUUGCUUGUCUUAACUAAUCAUGCAUCAAGUACCACAUGCAUUCUAACUACGAUCUGGAUGGGUACAACAAAAACAGGCUUCCAUGCCACAUAAAUUGUUACCUAGUUUAAAUUGCUAAUUUACUUUUGACAUGCUAAUGCAACUCAUGUUCAUGUUUUUUUUUUUUUCCCCUCUAAAGAAAAGCUGAUCAUUUGCCAUUACAUCAUUGUCAAGCAACACAAAAUUCCCCCAUCAUGUUGACUUUUACAAAGGUUAGUGCUUGACAAGAACCUUGAAGGGAAACAAGCUUUAUUUUCUGCCGCAAGAGUUCCAAGGAAGAGAAGCAGGCCAGCAAAUCACUCCAUCGAUUGCAGAAUGGCUUGGAAUUAAAGAAGAGUCGUCUGUGUCCACCAUGAUCCAUAUGGUCCAACCCUAUGUGAUUUCUGAGGCCUAAGUGCUCCGAAGCUGCUUAAUGAUCAGCUAAUGGAAUAAAGAGGACAGGGACAGAAAGGGACUUUGGAUUUACGAAAUAGGGGAAUCACCCAAGUAGAAGAAUCAGGAACCAAACUUCAAGUAAUUGGUGGCUCUCCUUGGCUCAUCUAGAUUACGAGAUAAAGAGCAUGAUUCAUGAUCUUUCAUUGCUCUAAAAAGUAUAUUUCCAUAGAUAGCGAGGACGAACAUGAGGAUUUCCUAAGACAUUGCCGGGUGCUCCGGCAGGGGAUGGGGUUUUAUCAGCUUUGACCAGAGAAGAGGACGGGAUAAGGUAUAACUUUUAGAAUCUUUUAUCAGUACCGCUUAUCAUCGUCCCUCACCCAUCUUAAAAACUGCGGUCUUGAUAAUUACAUAACAGUAAUUAUGUUUUUACUAUAUUAUAAAUAAAAGUAGUCUCAUGCAUUUAUUCAUAUAGCAAAUCCUAGUAUUCAUGUAUUGCACUGGUGAUGGUAUUUUAUUUUUUGGUCUAUAAAGAGACAUCAUCCUAAUAGUUAAAAGCACUUUGUUUGCUAUUUAGAAGUCAAGGACUAGUGGUAAUCUUUUAAUGGGAGUGUCCUUUUUUUUUUUUUUUUUUUCUAAAGGUGUUUGGUGACAGAGAGAUAAAAUAAUUGUUAGGGAAAAUGCGCUUGAAGAAAUGCAGAAUCUCUAUAUUUUGUGAUUAAAAAAAAUCUCUUCGGCUAAUAAAGAAAGAAAAUGAUGAUAUGGUGGGAUGGAGCCGAGUUUAGAUCGACCCUCUCACUCUUCUUUUCUACAGGGCCAAGUCUAAAUGAAAGUUUGGUGUCUGUCAUGGAGUGGGAUUAUUCUCAAGUAGCACUAAGUCUUUUUUGGACGCAUUCAAUGAUUUACUGUUCUUACUUUUUCUUGAUGGGGUAAUGAUAUGACAUACGUUCUUUUCCCUGCUUGAUUUAUUAAACAAGCUUCAAAAAUAGGGUAUAAGGAUAUUUCAUCCUUAUGAAUUUAGAUCUGCUAUUCAUUUCUUUAUGUUAUAUAUAUAUAUCCAGUUUUGCAUAAAUAAAACUGUAUCCGUUGAAGUCUCUUGUGACCAGAAGAUGAUAAAAUUUUGAUUACCCAGGAAGUGGCUGGUAACAUAAAUCAAGUUAAUUUUCUUCAAAGACCAUUAAUGCUGCUUUAAAGUGGCCUCUAAAAUGCCAACCCUUAACCUUAACACAACUUGGUCCUGGCUUCUCCAUUUUAAUGGGAUUACAAAUUAGCCACUAGAAAUAAAAUUUUGUAUUAAUCUUUUUUUUUGUUGCUUAAGUACCACCUUGCAAAAAAGGAGUUUCUCUUUUUUAAUUUCUAUCCUCACAAUAUAUAUACAUAUAUACAUACAUAUGUAUAUAUAUGCAAUGUUACCAAAAAAAAAAAAAAAAUCAAAGUAAAUCACACUUGAUUUUCUUCCUUCUGUGGGGAGGAUGAACCUAAUGCUUUUUUAACUAAAGGAAUGACAUGACCAGCCACACUUGCUCCAACCUAAAGAGAGAACCUAGAGACCAAAUCCUACCAGACAAAAGAUCACCACUGCUGACAUCAAACAAGUUGAGAACAGAGAGGAAAGAAGCACAAAGGCCAAGUAACUAAGCUGGCCUUUCUUAAAUGGCUUAGCUGACACCACUUGGACUUGUCUAAUAAUAGCAGAUUCUUGAUUAAUGCAGUUCCUGGUCCUCCUCCGUGAUGCUUACCCUUGCUGAAUGAAAAAGGUUAGCAGCACACACACAAACACACUUCUUUCUUGAUUAGAAAGUGAAUUAUGUAGAUAGAGAUGGAAUGAGCAUACAGGUACAAUUAUGAAGGCUAAGAGGUUUCAUGACCCCCACCUACCCAACACUCAGAUCUUUGUGAGUAUGGUGAACAGGAACUCCAGGUACCAAAGUGCUGAAGAUUGAAUUUUGAAGCAAGAAACAGAAUCAUGGAGCUCAAAAAGUUCAGCAUCAGCAACAUUGGAACAAGCUAAGCAGCAGGAAAAAAGGCAGCGGUGCCUGAGCCUGAAUGGGGAAAUAGAAGAAACAUCCUCAUCACGACAAGUAGGCAUGCACUGGAACAUCUACUACCUUACAUGACAAAAUCCAAGAGAUGGAUGCUGCCUUCAAGGAGAGAACUAAGUUGUUACUGACAUGUUUGAAGAUUUCAGCAGAGUCUUGAGAGAAGUUAAUUCAUAGACAAGAUGGUUUCAGAGGAGAUGUAAGGGUGACAACGCACUCAACUCUGUUAUCAUCAACCAUCUUUUGGACUUUGAACAUCACUGCUGUGUUCAUGUUCCCUCCAUUCCAUUCCUAUGCUGCAACAUUGAGAUCAGAGCUGUCUAUACUUGGCAGUAAUGAAUGUAGAGACUCACAUGUAAAGUAGGGGGAGUGCAUUAAGUUUACUGCUUUGGAAAGAAAACAUAUUGUGGUUGAUACUUGUACAAUCCCAUGUUACAGUAAGAAAGCUUAAAGGGCUUUCUUCUCCUUUGGCACAAGGUCAUGGCAUGCAUGAGAGCCUUUUGGGUUUCCCAUCUUUUACAGCUUGGGUUGGUGCAUGCAUGUCUUCAAAGUAGCUGACAA